CAAUAGCGUAUAUUAAAGUUGUUGCAGUUAAAAAGCUCGUAGUUGAAACUCCGGCGUCGCGAGACGUCUGCCUGGAAGAACUGGCGAUACCGUAAAAAGUUUUGCCUUUUUGAACAGGCUUUUACUGUGAACAAAUUAAAGUGCUUAAAGCAGGCUUUUGCUUGAAUAUUCUAGCAUGGAAUAAUAAAAUAUGACUUUAUUCAUUUUAUUGGUUAUUGAAUAGAGUAAUGAUUAACAGGAACAGUUGGGGGCAUUCGUAUUUAAUAGUCAGAGGUGAAAUUCUUAGAUUUAUUAAAGACGAACUAAAGCGAAAGCAUUUGCCAAGGAUGUUUUCAUUAAUCAAGAACGAAAGUUAGGGGAU
rnacentral:rRNA from 1 species